GUGCAGCAGUCGAGAAACCUCCGCAAUACACGAAAGUGUGACGGGGCCAUCCCGAGUGCCGUCCGCUGAGGACGGCUUUUCCCCAGUGUACAUAGCUGGGGGAAUAAGGAGAGGGCAAGCCUGGUGUCAGCCGCCGCGGUAAUACCAGCUCUCCGAGUGGUGGGGACGCUUAUUGGGCCUAAAGCAUCCGUAGCCGGCUGGGCAAGUCCUCCGUUAAAUCCAACGAUUCAAUCGUUGGGCUGCGGGGGAUACUGUCCAGCUUGGGGGGCGGGAGAGGCCGACGGUAUUCCCGGGGUAGGGGUGAAAUCCUAUAACCCCCGGGAGGACCACCAGUGGCGAAGGCUGUCGGCUAGAACGCGCCCGACGGUGAGGGAUGGAAAAGCUGGGGGAGCGAACCGGAUUAGAUA
rnacentral:rRNA from 1 species